rnacentral:lncRNA from 1 species
CCAUUUCUAGCAGUGCGGCAGAUAUCAAAACAAGCUCAGCUUCUCUUGUUUCUGCAAAUAGCAAUUUGGAUCCCAAAGGGCCUGAUAAGGUUAUAUCCAAGGAUGCAAGUAUUGCGCCUCUGUCCCAAGCAGUAGUAGCAACAUCAGCUGCAGGAACAACAUCCUUAGUUGGAAGUUCUACACAGUCUUCUACUAGUUCUACGCAGGCUAAAGGUAAUUCUUUUCUGAAUAUCUUUAUUGAGGCAAUUCAUCUGACCCUAUUGGUCAUGGUUACUCCAUCACAUUGUUUGACCUUUUGUGCUGUUUUGUAGUUAUUCGCAGUAAGAAGCGGGCUGUUGCUGUUACAUCAUCCCUGAGGUCUAAUAAGAAGGUUUCCAGUCUGGUGGAUAAGGUAGCUCUCUAUAACGAUCCACUCAAUGCUAUUGUCACAUAUGCAUGCGAAUAUAGGUGGCUUGCGCCCCUAACUAUGCUAGUACUACCACAUGCACGCACCACCCUUCCCAAGAUGAUUUUUAAAUUUACAAAAUUUUUUGAACAUCUUCCUGUCUUUUCAUGGAACGGAAUCAGCAAGUGCUAGUUUCAUUUACUUGGCUGCUUGAUAUAUGUUCUGAAAUCUCAACUAUCCUUUUUGAUCAACAAGUAGGGAGCACCUUUUCAGCUAGUUUUCUUGUGUGCAUUUUACGUUUUGUUGCCUGGUUAUUUUUUAGUUUCAUGGUUACAAUUUGUUAGUUUAAAGGUUUAAACUGAGAUGAGUAGUGAUGUAUAGAUAACUGGUGCCCUGGCAAUAUUGUUUUGGUAAAGCAUCUUAUUUCGUUCUUUUAAACAGUGGAAAGCUGCAAAAGAGGAACUUCGUGAUGAAGAGGAAGAGGAACCUGAAAGUGCUUUGGAGGCUUUAGAAAGGAAGCGUCAAAAGGAAAUAGAGGUACCUCCCUUUGAAGUACUCAUGCGCAAAAAUUUCUCCAAAGCUUUCUGAAUCUAAAUUAUGGUCGAUUUGUUCCAGGAAUGGCGGAAACAGCAGAUAGCUAGUGGGGAAGCUCAGGAAAAUGCCAAUUUCGUUCCUGUUCGUGGUGAUUGGUACUGUUUCUUUACCUUAUGAUAGUUGAGUCUAGUACCUUGAUACCAUAAGUUUGUGGCCUUUGUCAUGGACAUGGCCCAAUCUGUUCACCAUUUCAUGGCCUCUGAUAUCCUAUUUACUGGAAAGUAUACUCUUAAUGUUUUACUUUCAAACCGAAAGAAACAUUUCUAGAAACAGAGUCAACCUUCCUGCAUCUAAAAUUUUAUUAAAAGGAGGUGUUCACACUGACUCCAGUACUUACAUUUUUCAUCUUACUAGGUUUGGCUGCCCUGCCUAGUGCCUACUAAUUUCUUUUAAUAUUUUGCAGACAUGUAUACCGUAUUCUUAUGUUGGUCUUCCCUUGCAUCAAGUGAUUUGCUUUUUCUUGUUAAGAGUAUCUAAAAUUGAUACAUCUUUGUUCUAUAUGUUCUCUGCCUGGCACCAACAGUAAUUGGUUUGAGUAGCCAAAACACCUGUGAGAAAGCUUUUAGGUUGUUGACAUAGCUGAAUAUGUUAGUUGGUGGUGCCUGGUUCUUGAGACGUGGUGGAACAUGUUAGUUUAACAUUUUCAUCUUCUCUGGUACACCUAUGUUAGUUUGACAUACCUGAAGAACAUGUUAGACUUGGUGGACCUGUUUGCUUUGUAGGUGUUCUCAUUUGGAAGUUUUGUGAUUUAGCUCAAAUUUGAACUUGAACCCAAUACUCCCAAUGAAAUGCGCCUUAUGCAAUAAGCGUAAAAUGCCAUGAUUAGUUUAUGUUCUUCAGGUUACAUGCCCCGUGUUUAGCUACCAUUUAAGAAUAGGCUGUUCGGAGACAAUAGUUUGCCUUUGAUUACCGACCCAUCAUGAGCACAGCUGACAACCUAUAUUCUGAAUCUGAACUUUAUGAAUAGUGACAUGGUUUCUUGUAUUGAUUUAACUGGGUAGCUGCUAUAGUCCUGACUCUUUGAAUUUCUUUGUAGGCGUGAUCGUGUGAAACGCAGAAGAGCUGAAGUAAAAAAGGAGUCAAAAGAGUCUGCUGCUGCAUCCUUACAUAGUGCUGAACAGCACAAUGGGUCACCUGAUCUUGCAGAGCUCUCCAAGGGUCUUCCUUCUGGUUGGCAGGUUAUGCCUCU